rnacentral:rRNA from 1 species
GACGAACGCUGGCGGCGUGCUUAACACAUGCAAGUCGAACGGAAAGGCCCUGCUUUUGUGGGGUGCUCGAGUGGCGAACGGGUGAGUAACACGUGAGUAACCUGCCCUUGACUUUGGGAUAACUUCAGGAAACUGGGGCUAAUACCGGAUAGGAGCUCCUGCUGCAUGGUGGGGGUUGGAAAGUUUCGGCGGUUGGGGAUGGACUCGCGGCUUAUCAGCUUGUUGGUGGGGUAGUGGCUUACCAAGGCUUUGACGGGUAGCCGGCCUGAGAGGGUGACCGGCCACAUUGGGACUGAGAUACGACCCAGACUCAUACGGGAGGCAGCAGUGAAAGAUAUUGCACAAUAGGCGGAAGCCUGGUGCAGCAACGCCGCGUGCGAGAUGACGGCCUUCGGGUUGUAAACCGCUUUCGCCUGUGACGAAGCGUGAGUGACGGUAAUGGGUAAGGAAGCACCGGCUAACUACGUG